AAGAGGAAUAGAAAAUGAAAUGACAUGAGACAGUUUAAUUAUUUAAAUACUGUAUAAUUAGACGCGGGACGUUUUAAAACUUUGAAUAGAAUUAAAAGUACAGGAGGCGAGAUAGGAGUAUGUCAGAGUACAAAGUAAAUUAAAAUGUCGAUAAGAGUAGGGUCAGUAACACUUGAUAUGAAGAUGGACAUUAUUAUCCUUGUCAGUCAUCCCCGAAGAGAUCAUUGAGAUCAUAAAAGUAUCGAGGUAUAUAAAUAUAUGUAUAAGUAGCAGACAAGCUGGAGUUUUAAGCUGGAGCUCCAGCUGGAGCUGGAGUUGGUGGUAAAGCUGAAGACCCUGAGGCCACAGACAAACCAUCGAGGCUGGUCUAUGUUUUAUCCUCAAAAACCAGUUAUUGGAUGAAAGAUUAUUAAGCUCGUAAUAUUUACAUUCGAAAAUUAACAUCGAUGUUAAUUAAAUUACUUUGGAAAUGUCUGUUAUUUCCCAACAAUAAAAUCAACAGAAUUACUCAAUGGUGAUUAAUCCCGCGAGAAAAUGUUUGUGAAAAUAUCUGCUGUCGAAGAUGAAAUCCCGUGAAUAACUCCUCAGUCU